rnacentral:rRNA from 1 species
UAGGGAAUCUUCGGCAAUGGACGAAAGUCUGACCGAGCAACGCCGCGUGAGUGAAGAAGGUUUUCGGAUCGUAAAACUCUGUUGUUAGAGAAGAACAAGGACGUUAGUAACUGAACGUCCCCUGACGGUAUCUAACCAGAAAGCUACGGCUAACUACGUGCCAGCAGCCGCGGUAAUACGUAGGUGGCAAGCGUUGUCCGGAUUUAUUGGGCGUAAAGCGAGCGCAGGCGGUUUCUUAAGUCUGAUGUGAAAGCCCCCGGCUCAACCGGGGAGGGUCAUUGGAAACUGGGCGACUUGAGUGCAGAAGAGGAGAGUGGAAUUCCAUGUGUAGCGGUGAAAUGCGUAGAUAUAUGGAGGAACACCAGUGGCGAAGGCGGCUCUCUGGUCUGUAACUGACGCUGAGGCUCGAAAGCGUGGGGAGCAAACAGG